CAGGUCACUCCUACGGGAGGCAGCAGUAGGGAAUCUUGCGCAAUGGGCGAAAGCCUGACGCAGCCAUGCCGCGUGAAUGAUGAAGGUCUUAGGAUUGUAAAAUUCUUUCACCGGGGAAGAUAAUGACGGUACCCGGAGAAGAAGCCCCGGCUAACUUCGUGCCAGCAGCCGCGGUAAUACGAAGGGGGCUAGCGUUGCUCGGAAUUACUGGGCGUAAAGGGCGCGUAGGCGGAUACUUAAGUUGGGGGUGAAAGCCCGGGGCUCAACCUCGGAAUUGCCUUCAAUACUGGGUAUCUUGAGUUCGGGAGAGGUGAGUGGAAUGCCGAGUGUAGAGGUGAAAUUCGUAGAUAUUCGGCGGAACACCAGUGGCGAAGGCGACUCACUGGCCCGAUACUGACGCUGAGGCGCGAAAGCGUGGGGAGCAAACAGGAUUAGAUACCCUGGUAGUCCACGCUGUAAACGAUGAGUGCUAGUUGUCGGCAUGCAUGCAUGUCGGUGACGCAGCUAACGCAUUAAGCACUCCGCCUGGGGAGUACGGUCGCAAGAUUAAAACUCAAAGGAAUUGAC
rnacentral:rRNA from 1 species